rnacentral:tRNA from 1 species
GCGCUCGUGGUGAAAUUGGUAGACACGCAAGAUUCAGGUUCUUGUGCCGCGAGGUGUGGAGGUUCGAGUCCUCUCGAGCGCACCA